UACGUAGGGCGCAAGCGUUGUCCGGAAUCAUUGGGCGUAAAGAGCUCGUAGGUGGUCUGUUACGUCUGCUGUGAAAUCCUAGGGCUUAACCCUGGGCCUGCAGUGGAUACGGGCAGACUAGAGGUAGGUAGGGGAGAAUGGAAUUCCCGGUGUAGCGGUGAAAUGCGCAGAUAUCGGGAGGAACACCGGUGGCGAAGGCGGUUCUCUGGGCCUUACCUGACGCUCAGGCGCGAAAGCUAGGGGAGCGAACAGG
rnacentral:rRNA from 1 species